UACGUAGGGGGCGAGCGUUGUCCGGAGUUACUGGGCGUAAAGCGCUUGUAGGCGGUCCACCAAGUUUGGGGUGACAGUUGCCGACUUAAUCGGCAAAGUGCCUCAAAGACUGGCGGACUUGAGGGCCACAGAGGGACAUGGAACUCCAGGUGUAGUGGUGAAAUGCGUAGAUAUCUGGAAGAACACCAAAGGCGAAGGCAGUGUCCUGGGUGGUCGCUGACGCUGAGAGGCGAAAGCCAGGUGAGCGAACGGG
rnacentral:rRNA from 1 species